rnacentral:rRNA from 1 species
UACGUAGGAUCCGAGCGUUGUCCGGAAUUACUGGGUGUAAAGGGCGUGUAGGUGGGUCUCUAAGUCGAUGGUGAAAUCCUGCAGCUUAACUGUAGAAUUGCCUUCGAUACUGGAGAUCUUGAGUGCGGCAGAGGGAGAUGGAAGUCAUGGUGUAGCGGUGAAAUGUGUAGAUAUCAUGAAGAACACCGGUAGCGAAGGCGGCCUCCUGGCCCGUAACUGACACUGAGGCGCGAAAGCGUGGGGAGCAAACAGG